rnacentral:rRNA from 1 species
AGAGAUUGAACUGAAGAGUUUGAUCCUGGCUCAGAUUGAACGCUAGCGGGAUGCCUUACACAUGCAAGUCGAACGGCAACACGGACUUCGGUCUGGUGGCGAGUGGCGAACGGGUGAGUAAUGUAUCGGAACGUGCCCAGUAGCGGGGGAUAACUACGCGAAAGCGUAGCUAAUACCGCAUACGCCCUACGGGGGAAA